AGCAGCCGCGGUAAUUCCAGCUCCAAUAGCGUAUAUUAAAGUUGUUGCAGUUAAAAAGCUCGUAGUUGAAUUUCGGGGUUCAUACGUUGGUCGGGCUUUUUGGUCUGUACUAGCGUAAUGGAUUUCUACCUCCUGAAUAACCGGCAUGUCAUUAAUUUGGUGCGCCGGGGAAGCAGGACUGUUACCUUGAAAAAUUAGAGUGCUUAAAGCAGGCUAUCGCCUGAAUACAUUAGCAUGGAAUAAUGAAAUAGGACGGCAUGGUUCUAUUUUGUUGGUUUCUAGGAUCACCGUAAUGAUUAAUAGGGAUAGUUGGGGGCAUUAGUAUUCAAUUGUCAGAGGUGAAAUUCUUGGAUUUAUUGAAGACUAACUUCUGCGAAAGCAUUUGCCAAGGAUGUUUUCAUUAAUCAAGAACGAAAGUUAGGGGAUCGAAGACGAUCAGAUACCGUCGUA
rnacentral:rRNA from 1 species